rnacentral:sRNA from 1 species
AUGUACCGCGCGGACACGCCGGUUCCUCCGCGCCGCCCGCAGCCACCUGACGACCGCGCGCUACGGUUAGGUAGCC